UACAAAUACUAAAAGUCCCACAGGCGUGC
rnacentral:piRNA from 1 species